rnacentral:rRNA from 5 species
UUGAACGCUGGCGGCAUGCCUUACACAUGCAAGUCGAACGGCAGCGCGGGAGCAAUCCUGGCGGCGAGUGGCGAACGGGUGAGUAAUACAUCGGAACGUGCCCAAUCGUGGGGGAUAACGCAGCGAAAGCUGUGCUAAUACCGCAUAAGAUCUACGGAUGAAAGCAGGGGAUCGCAAGACCUUGCGCGAAUGGAGCGGCCGAUGGCAGAUUAGGUAGUUGGUGAGGUAAAGGCUCACCAAGCCUUCGAUCUGUAGCUG